GACAGAGGACCAAGGGUGCGGCUGGACCGCCAGGGCUCUGCUUAUCAAAGUGUCCUGUCUCCUCUCCCAGCCGGUGAGCUCUCCAGAGAGAGGACCAAGGCCUACCUUCAUCCUGGUGUUUGGAGCACAGAGACCCAGGUCCUGCACAGACCAGGAGCUCAGAAAGUAGCACCGAACCUAAGACUUGUCACGUGAGCCACGCGGGGGCCACAGGCUCUGAACUCAGCCAGACACAGACACGCUGGGGGCAUGGGAAGAGCAUUGCCUUCUGGGCAGUCCUUAGUCCAGGGCAGAAUCUGAGGACAGCAUCUCCAAGAUCCCUUUCCGAUGAAGCAACUACACAAUGCUUGACUUCCGAAGCAGCGUGUGUCUGCUUGCGCACGUGCAGGUGCUGUUCUGUUCGUUGGAGCCACAGCAGUGAACCAGAUGGACACAGUCCCCGCCUGCAGAGGGAGGAGUGUCACUGCAUGUUUGCAAACCUAGAGAUUCUGCAGAGAUGUGCUCUGAGCACCUGGGAUGUUCCAGGCCUUGAGAGGGAGAGGAGACUCCAUGAGGACUGGAGAUGCUCCAGUCCUCACCACUGCCUGGCUGGCUGUAAUGUGAAGGAAGGAGCACUAGGCGGUGACGUUGAGCCACAUUCAGCUUCAGCUCCUGCCUCUCACUCCAGACCCCCACACCUUCAAACUCUUCCAGAGUCUCAGGCUUCCCAGACCCCCAACUCCCAGACGCUUUUAGAUUUCAGACCCCAGAAUCCCUGUUCCCCUAAACUCCCACAUCCUUAAAUUCUGGAACCUCCAGAUCCAGUGACCCCCCCAGACACUAGAUUCCCAAAUCUAACCAUCCUAGAGCCCCAGACAAUAAGUCGCUGACCCUUUAAUGGCCCAAGGCUCCAUAAGUUCCUGCCCCCGCAAAUCCUCAGAUCCAGAUCCCCAGGCCCCCAGACCUCCCAGUUUCCCAGCACCUCCAGCCUUUCCAAAUCCCCAUCCUCAGACCCUAAGUCCCAAGAUCCUCAGAUCCCAGAUUCUACAAACCCUUACAAACUGUCCCCCAUCUUCAGAUCCUUCUAGACCUUUUAGAGCCCAGUUUCGCAGAACCAUCAGACCCCCCAGACACGUCCCCAAUCUCCUAGACUUCUAGACAUCCACACCUCUAUAAACAGUGAACACUUGCUUCUUCAAACUUACCCGAACCUACCAGAUCCCCUAGGUUCCCACACCAAGAUCCAGGUCUCCUAGCUGUUCCCCAAUUGCCAACAGAGGCUCUCGGGGGAAGAUUUGUGCUGGGGCAGUGGGUGCUGACCACCCCCUGAACUGGAAAAUGAGGUCUCUCCCUCACUUAGUGAGGGUCACGGCACCUAAGCUCACAAAGGCCACAGCCACAAGGGGUCCCGGCUUGCAGAAAUGAGCAAAACACGGCCUGGAAAAGGGAAGAAACUUACUCAGUACACCCAGGAUAUGAGUAGUUGGCACCCAGGCCCUUGGUUCCCGGCUCCUACA